UGCAAGUGGCACCAAGUCACUCAAUGACAUGCAACAAGAACAACUGGACACAGCUUUAUACCUCCUGAGAGCAGUGUUAGGUAAUAGGCAUAGCCACAGAAGCCUUUGAGAAUCCAAGCAAAAUGAAAUCAAUUAAAUUCUGCCUAUCGCUGUUCAAGGAAAACGUCACGCUGUAGCUACCUUGAGACGCAAGCUCAGGGCACAAGCAGUGCUAUAACAUGUGGCAAACAACAAAAGUGGAUGCAGAGUGCUGUGCAAAGCUGCUCAGAAUAAGAAUUUGUGGUAAUUUUAAGCAUGGGAUCCAUCUGUCAAUGCAGGAAAAUGACACAUUUGAGGGAGAAAACAGGAGCAGACUCUGUCUUUAAUGUCCUGGUGGUGGACCAUUUCAAGUCCAUCCUCAAGAAGCACAUCUUAGCAAUCAAUUGAUGGACCACUGCAAUUUUUAUGAUUUGGAGACUUCUGAUCCAGGGACAUGUUCUUUUAGGGAAGGAUGUAGAGCAAAAGAUAUGCAUAAACUUGUGAAACUUUACCACUGUUCAGAAUUCCUCAGAGAGAGAAACUACAUUCAUCUUGGAAAUCCAUAUUGCGUACUUUGAAGAACUGCAGUUCUUCUUGCAAACUCUUUAUUUCUUUGAAGUUAGGUCUGGAGAAUAAUACGGCAUCAUUCUGUGGACAAGCCAUGGUUACUGCCACCAAAUAAAAUGUCUCUGUAUCAAAAA